UCAUGGCUCAGGAUGAACGCUGGCGGCGUGCCUAACACAUGCAAGUCGAACGAAGGUAUGUAUAGGAAGUCUUCGGAUGGAAUAUGUAUAACUUAGUGGCGGACGGGUGAGUAACGCGUAAGUAAUCAACCUGUGACACACGGGUAACUGAUAGAAAUGUCAGCUAAUACGAGAUGAACUGUUUAAAUUGGGAAAUGGAAACAGCAAAGCGAAAGCGGUCACAGACGAGCUUGCGUCUGAUUAGCUAGUUGGUGGGGUAAGAGCCUACCAAGGCAACGAUCAGUAGCCGGCCUGAGAGGGUGAACGGCCACAUUGGAACUGAGACACGGUCCAAACUCCUACGGGAGGCAGCAGUGGGAGAUAUUGCACAAUGGGGGGAACCCUGAUGCAGCAACGCCGCGUGAGUGAAGAAGGCCCUAGGGUCGUAAAGCUCUGUCGUAUGGGAAGAAGAAAAUGACUGUACCAUACAAGAAAGCCCCGGCUAACUACGUGCCAGCAGCCGCGGUAAUACGUAGGGGGCAAGCGUUAUCCGGAAUUACUGGGCGUAAAGGGUGCGUAGGCGGCUAGUUAAGUCGAGGUUAAAAGGCAGUAGCUCAACUACUGUUGGGCCUUGAAACUAAUUAGCUUGAGUAUAGGAGAGGAAAGUGGAAUUCCCGGUGUAGCGGUGAAAUGCGUAGAUAUCGGGAGGAAUACCGGUGGCGAAGGCGACUUUCUGGACUAUAACUGACGCUGAGGCACGAAAGCGUGGGUAGCAAAACAGGAUUAGAUACCCUGGUAGUCCACGCCGUAAACGAUGAACACUAGGUGUCGGGAGGAAUUUCGGUGCCGGCGCAAAACGCAAUAAGUGUUCCGCCUGGGGAGUACGUUCGCAAGAAAUAAAACUCAAAAGGAAUUGACGGGGACCCGCACAAGUAGCGGAGCAUGUGGUUUAAUUCGAAGCAACGCGAAGAACCUUACCUAAGCUUGACAUGGGGAUGAAAAAGCGAAUGUAAAAGUUGUAAUGAUACCCUUUUAGGUAUACUUCCCACACAGGUGGUGCAUGGUUGUCGUCAGCUCGUGUCGUGAGAUGUUGGGUUAAGUUCCCGCAACGAGCGCCAACCCCUAUUGAUAGUUGCCAGUACGUUAUGGUAGGCGCUCUAUUAAGACGGUUAUGGAUACGUGAAGGAAGGUGGGGAUGAACGUCGAAUCGUCGUGCUCCUUAUGCUUAGGGCUACGCGCGUGCUACGAUGGCUGUAACGAA
rnacentral:rRNA from 1 species